UGGGGAAUAUUGCGCAAUGGGCGAAAGCCUGACGCAGCGACGCCGCGUGAGGGAUGAAGGCCUUCGGGUUGUAAACCUCUUUCAGCAGGGAAGAAGCGAAAGUGACGGUACCUGCAGAAGAAGCACCGGCUAACUACGUGCCAGCAGCCGCGGUAAUACGUAGGGUGCAAGCGUUGUCCGGAAUUAUUGGGCGUAAAGAGCUCGUAGGCGGUCUGUCGCGUCGGAUGUGAAAAUCCAGGGCUUAACCCUGGACCUGCACUCGAUACGGGCAGACUAGAGUUCGGUAGGGGAGACUGGAAUUCCUGGUGUAGCGGUGAAAUGCGCAGAUAUCAGGAGGAACACCGGUGGCGAAGGCGGGUCUCUGGGCCGAAACUGACGCUGAGGAGCGAAAGCGUGGGGAGCGAACAGG
rnacentral:rRNA from 1 species